rnacentral:rRNA from 1 species
CACACUGGAACUGAGACACGGUCCAGACUCCUACGGGAGGCAGCAGUGGGGAAUAUUGAACAAUGGGCGACAGCCUGAUCCAGCCAUGCCGCGUGUGUGAAGAAGGUCUUCGGAUUGUAAAGCACUUUAAGUUGGGAGGAAGGGCUGCUGGUUAAUACACUGCAGUUUUGACGUUACCAACAGAAUAAGCACCGGCUAACUUCGUGCCAGCAGACGCGGUAAUACGAAGGGUGCAAGCGUUAAUCGGACUUACUGGGCGUAAAGGCGCGCGUAGGUGGUUGGGUAAGUUGAAUGUGAAAGCCCCGGGCUCAACCUGGGAACUGCAUCCAAAACUCCCCGACUAGAGUACGGUAGAGGGUGGUGGAAUUUCCUGUGUAGCGGUGAAAUGCGUAGAUAUAGGAAGGAACACCAGUGGCGAAGGCGACCACCUGGACUGAUGCUGACACUGAGGUGCGAAAGCGUGGGGAGCAAACAGGAUUAGAUACCCUGGUAGUACACGCCGUAAACGAUGUCGACUAGCCGUUGGGCUCCUUGAGAGCUUGGUGGCGCAGCUAACGCAUUAAGUCGACCGCCUGGGGAGUACGGCCGCAAGGUUAAAACUCAAA